rnacentral:lncRNA from 1 species
AAGAGAAGUCAGCUGACAUGGAAAAGGAAGAGAAGUCAGCUGACACGGAGAAGGAAGAGAAGUCAGCUGACAGGGAGAAGGAAGAGAAGUCAGCUGACACGGAGAAGAAGAGAAGUCAGCUGACAGGAAGAACGAAGAUAAGUCAGCUGACAUGGAAAAGGAAGAGAAGUCAGCUGACAGUGAGAAGGAAGAGAAGUCAGUUGACACGGAGAAGGAGGAUAAGUCAGCUGAAAGAAGAGAAGUCAGCUUACACGGAAAAGGAAGAGACGUCAGCUGACAAGGAGAAGGAAGAGAAGUCAGCUGACACAGAGGAGGAAGAGAAGUCAGCUGAGACGGAGAAGAAGAGAAGUCAGCUGACAUGGAAAAGGAAGAGAAGUCAGCUGACACGGAGAAGGAAGAGAAGUCAGCUGUCACUGAGAAGAAGAGAAGUCAGCUGACACGGAGAAGGCAG